CGCGAAGGUCUAUCAGAAUACACCUAGACCUAGGCUAAAGGCAACCAAAAUCGAUAAAUACCUAAAGAUAAACACCGCUAAGGUUAAAAAUAGUCCGUUUUUGCCUGAAGACAAUACAAGUUCAGACAGUUGUAUGUCAAAAACUACAACAGUUUCAACUAGUACAUCCACCAGCAGCGGUUCUCCAGAGAUGGUUCCUAGAUAUGGACGUAAAAAUGUCGUAGAUAAAAAAGUUAAACUUGGAACUAAUCUAUGGAAUAAAGAAAAGGG